AAUAUGACCUCUUCCCAAGUGACACUGACAUAAGAAAAGUUUGACCAUAAAUAUUCAAUUAAACAAAGCUCACCCUUAUAUUAUCAUCUUAGACAUUAAUGACAAUAAUAUUGCUUCAGACCAAGAAGUGAAUCUCAUAACAACUUUUUCCUUUCUCUGAUUAGAAGGAAAAAUAAUCUGAUAUGCCAAUAUAAAUACUUACACAAAUCAAGAUCCUUCCAAAUAACUAAAGAAAUGAACAUGACAACUAAGAAAUAGUAA
rnacentral:misc_RNA from 1 species